rnacentral:tRNA from 1 species
CCUUGGUGGUUUGGAUGAUAAAGAAUCUGCCUGCAACGCAGGACACCCAGGUUUGAUUCCUGGAUCGGGAA